GUAUAAAAUCUUGCCAUGGACUUGCCAGGUGACUGCAUCCUUUGCAGUAUAUUCUUUUAACUGUCUUUGACAUUCUCAGUAUUUGCACAUAUAAAAUAGUAAUCUAUAGCAGCUUUUUACAACAUACAAUAAUCUCGUUUGGUAAUUGCUUACCAUAACGUUUUUAAGUGUUAGAUCAAGAUUGUUUUUUUCAUUUGCCUUUCAGAUUUCACCUCAUCCUCCACUGACCCCGUCCUACAGUGGGGCAACGUGUAGCCAUUGGCAUCUUCAGUUCAAGUAGAGGACAUCUUUAUCUCCAUCUAUUGUCUUUUACUGUCCUGUCCUGUCCUAUCUAUUCAUUUUAGCUCAAAAUGUAAUCUCGCUCUACCUCUCACCUAUUUUAUUCUUUCUCUUCCUAAACCAAAAAGAAACUGGCUGCUAUCCUCAAACGGUGCUGCACUGCUUGCUGCACUGGUUACUGCUUUGAUAUCGCAUCUUAAAAAAUAAAGAGCCAGAACCACCAAACAUACUUAAAACCCCAAAAGCUAUUUGAAAAACUCGAAAAAAGCUUGAUUCUGAAAAGUGUGACUGUAAAAAGCUUGACUGUAAAAAGCUUAAACAUCAGACCCAGGUAAGAAAAGUUUCAGAUUCCACAGAUUUCAGAUUCAGAUAGACUGAAAGGAAAAUUUCUGGAUUUCGCCAGGUUGGAAUAUCAACUGUUUUAAAUCAUCUUCUUGAUUAACGUAACAUUAAUUAAUUUAACAUUGUUUUCCAUAUAUCUGAUUUUAUACGCAUCA